CCUACGGGAGGCAGCAGUGAGGAAUAUUGGUCAAUGGGCGCAGGCCUGAACCAGCCAAGUCGCGUGAGGGAAGACUGCCCUAUGGGUUGUAAACCUCUUUUAUAAGGGAAGAAUAAUGACUACGUGUAGUCAGAUGCCCGUACAUUAUGAAUAAGCAUCGGCUAACUCCGUGCCAGCAGCCGCGGUAAUACGGAGGAUGCGAGCGUUAUCCGGAGUGACUGGGUGUAAAGAGUUGCGUAGGUGGCAUAGUAAGUAGCUAGUGGAAUCUGGUGGCUCAACCAUUCAGACUAUUAGCUAAACUGCUAAGCUCGAGACCGUUAGGGGUAACUGGAAUUUCUAGUGUAGGAGUGAAAUCCGUAGAUAUUAGAAGGAACACCGAUAGCGUAGGCAGGUUACUGGGACGGUUCUGACACUAAGGCACGAAAGCGUAGGGAGCAAACGGGAUUAGAUACCCGAGUAGUC
rnacentral:rRNA from 1 species